GCCUCCACCCCACCCAGACCCGAACCCCUCUCCCCGCCCCACCCGGAACCAGACCGUCUCCUGGCUGGCGGACCCGGAGACAAGCCACCUCCUUCCACCACCAUCUACAGGUGGUAGGGAAGAGGGAGGACACCUCAAACCCGGACCCCCACUGUCUGGGCUGGAAUCCCAGCUGUGCCACUCAGGAGCUGGGUGACCUUGAAAUAUCACCACCUUCUGUGCCUCAGUUUCACCACCUCCUACUUAGGGCUAUUGUGAGAAAUGAAAGAGUUAAUAUGUAUUUAAGGUGCUUAGAACAGUGCCUGGCACAUGGUUGUUGCAUAAAAAUUAGUUUAAAAUAUAGAUAAUGUUUAAAAUCCACAAUAAGUGUUUGUAAGCAGGGCUUUGGAGAGGAGCCACAGCUCUGGGUCCUAAAUGUGACAAAGGGGCGUAGGGCACUGGUCUGCUGCCCCCCCACCCCGCUCCACCCACUUCACUCAGUUGAGGGUGGUCAUGGUAGGAGGGUCAUGGAAUAGCUCAUUCCAGCAAAGGGUCCCACUGCUUGACCGUGUCUGAAAUCCCUUUUUCCGCCCCACAGCUUGCGUUUUACAGAGGAGCAAACUGAAAGCCAGAGAGGGGAAGGGACCCGUCCAGCAUUCAGCAAGUUCACAGCAGAACUGGAAGGAGAAUCCAGGGCUUCUAUCCCCCAGGUCCAGCUCUUGGUUCUGGGCUUUUUGAUUUGGUUUUGUUUCCCUGCAGCAGGAGACCUCCUGCCCACUCACCCCAUUUUCAGUGAGGAGCUCAGCAGCCUCUCUACCUAGCACCAGGUCAGGACCACCCAUCACUAUGCCCAGCUGGGCAUCCUUCUCUCCCCUCCCAGCAGCUGCAGCACCCCCCCCCAGGAGCUGAGAACCUAACCUACAGCAGCAUCUCCUUGGCCCAGAAAUUGCUGGAAUUUCCUACGUGUCCUCUCUAGAUCUUGUCUGCCCCUUGACACCCUGUACCUUCAUCCCCAGGGCUGUCUGUGCCCUGCCCUACAGGCUGGAACCCAGCACUAGGUGACACCUGAGGCCUGCUGCGCCCGCCCGGCCACCACGUCCAUCAGAGCCUUGGAUGUGGCACUGGCCCGCGCACACCCAGCCUGAGCUCACCGCACCCCUCUGGGGCUCUCCCCAGCCAGGCCCAGCCCGGAACACCUCCCACAGGGCCGGGAGUUCCACCUGGAGAAGGAUGCUUCCACAGUCUUCUUGCCCAGGAGAGGCAGCCCAAGGCCCCAUGCAGACUGCUGAGGCGAGUGGAGAGCGAAGCGAAGCUCCCACAGGAGAACGGCUGCCUCCGAACCUCCAGGAAACCCUCUGCCCGUUGCCAUCUGCUCCUGAGGCCUGCCGAGACCCGAACCAGCCCAGCCCUUUCCUUCCUAGCCAACUCGGAGAACAUCAAAGUGCUGGAGGCAAGAAGAAAGUCCCCGGGCCACCCGCUGGGGGCAGACUGGGGCAGACUGGGGCCCGCUCAGCAGUCCUGGCAGGCUCGAGCUCCUGACACCCCUGCCCUGAGUGCAGUCUCAUCUUAAAUAACCCUCCUCACUAGCCCCCUGCUUUACCUCCCUGGCUGCUCCCUCUCUUUUGACUCCUGUCCACCCUGCAGCUCACGGGCACCCCGAUCAGUGCUGCUCCCAGGAAAGUGAUCUGAAUCCUGAGUUGCAGGGGCUUCUGACCACUUCAGCUGGCCCCGGCCCCUGAUACCCCGUGCCAGGCACUGUGCCAAGUGCUCUGCAGUCUCAGGCUCAGCUGGAGAACACGUCUCCCAUCUAACAGGGGAGGACACAGGCCGGCCCCCAGGCAUAAUGCUUCUAAGUGGCCCAGCCUGAAUUUAAACCCAGAUGUGUGUGAAUCCAGAGCCCCAAGCCUUCCCAGCAGGCCGUGGGGGCUAGCCCACCCACACAGCUGUUCUUUCCCAUGAAUGAAAUCAGACACGGAGUCUCACUCCCACAGCCACGCAGGAUGGAGGAGAGUUGGGCCCUGCAGGCCAUGUGUCCUGGGCGUUCUGACUGGGGGUCUGGCUUCCUUCAGGGCCGCUAAGACUCACCUGUCAUUGGCAGCGCGAAUGGAAAUCAGCAUUUUACAGCAAUAAAAGGCUG